ACUAAAGAAAAAGAUCAAUUUUCAUAUGAAAGCAAAAUGCUUGGAAAUAUGAAAAAUCCUAUAUCAUAUUUGGGGGAGUAGAGUUUCUUUAAUGAUAUAGAUCGGACGAGCAGGGCGUCGUUUAAUCGAGUGGAGUUGGCACAGAUAUAAUAGAAGAAGAACUGCAAGUGUUGGCUUUUGUGCACAAAAAGGAAGAGCAAACAAGUUCAGCAGAGGAUGUUAUGCAAGAAAAAGAAGACCUCAGGCA
rnacentral:lncRNA from 1 species